rnacentral:rRNA from 1 species
GAAUAUUGCACAAUGGGGGAAACCCUGAUGCAGCGACGCCGCGUGAGUGAAGAAGUAUUUCGGUAUGUAAAGCGCUAUCAGCAGGGACGAUAAUGACGGUACCUGACUAAGAAGCCCCGGCUAACUACGUGCCAGCAGCCGCGGUAAUACGUAGGGGGCAAGCGUUAUCCGGAUUUACUGGGUGUAAAGGGAGCGUAGGUGGUUUAAUAGGUCAGGUGUGAAAGCCCGGGGCUCAACUCCGGGAUUGCAUUUGAAACUAUUAGACUAGAGUGCAGGAGAGGUAAGAGGAAUUCCUAGUGUAGCGGUGAAAUGCGUAGAUAUUAGGAGGAACACCAGUGGCGAAGGCGGCUUACUGGACUGUAACUGACACUGAGGCUCGAAAGCGUGGGGAGCAAA